rnacentral:tRNA from 1 species
CCCCUUGUAGCUCAGUCAGGAAGAGCCUCCUCGCUCCUUGGGGCGACUUAACGUCGCUGGCGCGCGCGACCACCGUAGCGCCCGGGAGAGACCCCGGUUCGAGUCCGGGCAAGGGGA